rnacentral:lncRNA from 1 species
GAUUUUUCCACAUUCACUCAAAAAAAAGCACUCAUUUGAUCGAAAAAGGUAAGUAAUUCAAAAUUUGUGUUCAAUAUUUGUGCUACUUAGCAGUUAGUUGAAUAUCAUCAAAGAAAAUAUAUUUUUUGGCACAAAAAUACAAUUUAAUCGAAAAAACCAUCUUCAUUAAUCACGAGACCUCUCAGUGACACGGAGAGAAUCUGUCUCCGUGACACACAGAAUGCUAAAAUUAUUAUUAUUAUUAUUAUUAUUAUUAUUAUUAUUAUUAUUAUACCCACCCCAGUAUGUUUUACGAUAUAUGUAAACAAAAAUAUUAGAUUUGUUUGAAAUAUUAAUUUUUGAAUAUUUUUACACUUGAUUUUAAUUUUUUUUAGUAUAUAAGACCUGAAAAAAAUUUAUAUUUGUUUGGAAAUAUUAAUUCUUAAAUAAUUUUACAAUUAACAGUACUUUGUUUUAGCAUACUAGAUGUGUAAAAUCAAAUGAAAAUAUUAAUUCUUGAAUAAUUGGACACUUACUUAUAGUAUAUUUAGUAUACAAGCUUUCCUCAAAAAAUAAUUAGAUUUGUUUGAAAAUAUUAAUUCUUGUAUAAUUCAUGCAGAUGUCUUUAGAAUACGUUCUCUCUUCAGAACAAUGGUUUUCUGCUACCAUCAUUUAGUAUCCAAAUUGUCAAUAUGUUAAAGAUUUUGUAGAAUUCAUAGAUGCAAAUCAACAAUGUUCUUUGAUGUGUAGUAAUUUUUAUGGAUUUAUAUAUGGAGUUAUUUUCAAAGGAGAAGAAAAAUAAUUUACUAGUAAGUUGGUACACGAAUUUAUAAUGAGACUUGUACAUUGUGGCAAAAAUAAUGAACUUUGAGUAUGAUUAGAUGACCAUCUUGCUAGCUUUGGCAUGCAAGAAUUUUGCCUCAUUACUGGACCACCUUGCCAUGAACCAUCCACAGAAAUUGAUUAUAAUAACGAUCGUCUUAGAAAUCAAUACUUCAAUGACCCAAAAAAAAUUAGCAAUGGAAUGAUUUUUAAAGCUUUCCAUGUGUGUGAAGAUGAAGAAGAUAAAUUUAAGCUGUGAUUAGUUAUGUUGGUUGAGUAUGUGUUGAAAUCGACUUCAAGACAAAUUGAUUAUAGAACUACGUGCAUGAUUGAACAUAUUGAUGAGUUCCUUACGUAUCCAUGGGGCCAGAUAGUAUAUUUCAUUUUGUUAAAUUCAUUGAAAGAGUCACAAUUGAAAAGAAUACUAAGAAUGCAACAGAACCAACAAACAGAAUGUAAGUAUGUAUUACAAGGCUAUCCACUCGCAUUUCAGGUAUUCUGUUCCUAUUCUAAUUACUUAUGUAUUAUGUAUAAUUUCUUUAUACAAAGAAUAAAUUAUAUUCAUCCCAUUUCUCUUUCAUUACGUUGUAGUAUUGAAUAUAUGAAGCGUUUCCACAGAUUGGACAAAAGUUUGGUCGUCGUAAAUUCAAAACGGUGCAGAUUCCACGAAUCUAUAAUUGGAGGCCUAAUACUAUACUAAAGAAAUCGAUUGUUAAGGAAUUUUUGGAUACUAAAGAUGUAUGAAUUUUUUUAUUUUCAAUGUAAAAUGACAUUCACAUUUAAUUAUUAACAAGUUCAAUUAAACAAAUGGAUUCUGAUAGUUUGUUAUGAUUACAGAUCGAAGUCAUUACAGCGCUGCAGCCUACGGAAGAAGAAUUACAAACACCCUGGUACAUAAGUCUUUCACUGCCAGCUGACAAUGAAUAUAGUAUAUUAGAUAUCAUUGUCAAUGGAGAAGUAGAUAAUGUAGUACAAUCAAUACCGGAUAACAUCCGUGUGCAAGAAACGACCAGUUGUGUUACAUCGAGAACUUCAACUGGAGUUGGGCCUAGUUCUACUUCUGGUGCCUUCAGAUAUAUAACUGAAGACCGAAUGGGUAUGUACAGGUAGCAUACGAUAUCAGAUAUGUCAAGUCUAUGUGGAAACUUGAAAGCAGAAUUUGUUGAAAAAUCAAGAGCACUAAACCAUGCUAUCCUUGAAAGCCAAAAGCAAUUGUUCGAACAACAUAACAAAUUGUUGCAAGAUUACAUGCAAUCAUACAUGGAUAAUUCUCUAUCAAAUAUGUUUAACACUCAUAUUGUCCAGGAAUUGUAACAACAAAAAGCCCAUUAGCAGGCAAUUCUCCAAAAGCAAGGAGAAUUAUUCCAACAGCAAUAAGA